rnacentral:rRNA from 1 species
GGGUUGUGAGGUUAAGCGACUAAGCGUACACGGUGGAUGCCCUGGCAGUCAGAGGCGAUGAAGGACGUGCUAAUCUGCGAAAAGCGUCGGUAAGGUGAUAUGAACCGUUAUAGCCGGCGAUGUCCGAAUGGGGAAACCCAGUGUGAUUCGUCACACUAUCGUUAACUGAAUACAUAGGUUAACGAGGCGAACCGGGGGAACUGAAACAUCUAAGUACCCCGAGGAAAAGAAAUCAACCGAGAUUCCCCCAGUAGCGGCGAGCGAACGGGGAGCAGCCCAGAGUCUGAAUCAGCUUGUGUGUUAGUGGAACGGUCUGGAAAGUCCGACGGUACAGGGUGAUAGUCCCGUACACCAAAAUGCACAGGCUGUGAACUCGAAGAGUAGGGCGGGACACGUGGUAUCCUGUCUGAAUAUGGGGGGACCAUCCUCCAAGGCUAAAUACUCCUGACUGACCGAUAGUGAACCAGUACCGUGAGGGAAAGGCGAAAAGAACCCCGGCGAGGGGAGUGAAAAAGAACCUGAAACCGUGUACGUACAAGCAGUGGGAGCACCUUCGGGUGUGACUGCGUACCUUUUGUAUAAUGGGUCAGCGACUUAUAUUCUGUAGCAAGGUUAACCGUAUAGGGGAGCCGCAGGGAAACCGAGUCUUAACUGGGCGUUAAGUUGCAGGGUAUAGACCCGAAACCCGGUGAUCUAGCCAUGGGCAGGUUGAAGGUUGGGUAACACUAACUGGAGGACCGAACCGACUAAUGUUGAAAAAUUAGCGGAUGACUUGUGGCUGGGGGUGAAAGGCCAAUCAAACCGGGAGAUAGCUGGUUCUCCCCGAAAGCUAUUUAGGUAGCGCCUCGUGAACUCAUCUUCGGGGGUAGAGCACUGUUUCGGCUAGGGGGUCAUCCCGACUUACCAACCCGAUGCAAACUACGAAUACCGAAGAAUGUUAUCACGGGAGACACACGGCGGGUGCUAACGUCCGUCGUGAAGAGGGAAACAACCCAGACCGCCAGCUAAGGUCCCAAAGUCACAGUUAAGUGGGAAACGAUGUGGGAAGGCACAGACAGCCAGGAUGUUGGCUUAGAAGCAGCCAUCAUUUAAAGAAAGCGUAAUAGCUCACUGGUCGAGUCGGCCUGCGCGGAAGAUGUAACGGGGCUAAACUGUGCACCGAAGCUGCGGCAGCGACACUAUGUGUUGUUGGGUAGGGGAGCGUUCUGUAAGCCUGCGAAGGUGGCCUGUGAGGGUUGCUGGAGGUAUCAGAAGUGCGAAUGCUGACAUAAGUAACGAUAAUGCGGGUGAAAAGCCCGCACGCCGGAAGACCAAGGGUUCCUGUCCAACGUUAAUCGGGGCAGGGUGAGUCGACCCCUAAGGCGAGGCCGAAAGGCGUAGUCGAUGGGAAACAGGUUAAUAUUCCUGUACUUGGUGUUACUGCGAAGGGGGGACGGAGAAGGCUAUGUUAGCCGGGCGACGGUUGUCCCGGUUUAAGCAUGUAGGCGGAGGUUCCAGGUAAAUCCGGUACCUUAUUAACGCUGAGGUGUGAUGACGAGGCACUACGGUGCUGAAGUAACAAAUGCCCUGCUUCCAGGAAAAGCCUCUAAGCAUCAGGUAACAUCAAAUCGUACCCCAAACCGACACAGGUGGUCAGGUAGAGAAUACCAAGGCGCUUGAGAGAACUCGGGUGAAGGAACUAGGCAAAAUGGUGCCGUAACUUCGGGAGAAGGCACGCUGAUAUGUAGGUGAAGUCCCUGCGGAUGGAGCUGAAAUCAGUCGAAGAUACCAGCUGGCUGCAACUGUUUAUUAAAAACACAGCACUGUGCAAACACGAAAGUGGACGUAUACGGUGUGACGCCUGCCCGGUGCCGGAAGGUUAAUUGAUGGGGUUAUCCGUAAGGAGAAGCUCUUGAUCGAAGCCCCGGUAAACGGCGGCCGUAACUAUAACGGUCCUAAGGUAGCGAAAUUCCUUGUCGGGUAAGUUCCGACCUGCACGAAUGGCGUAAUGAUGGCCAGGCUGUCUCCACCCGAGACUCAGUGAAAUUGAACUCGCUGUGAAGAUGCAGUGUACCCGCGGCAAGACGGAAAGACCCCGUGAACCUUUACUAUAGCUUGACACUGAACAUUGAGCCUUGAUGUGUAGGAUAGGUGGGAGGCUUUGAAGCGUGGACGCCAGUCUGCGUGGAGCCAACCUUGAAAUACCACCCUUUAAUGUUUGAUGUUCUAACGUUGGCCCCUAAUCGGGGUUGCGGACAGUGUCUGGUGGGUAGUUUGACUGGGGCGGUCUCCUCCCAAAGAGUAACGGAGGAGCACGAAGGUUAGCUAAUCCUGGUCGGACAUCAGGAGGUUAGUGCAAUGGCAUAAGCUAGCUUGACUGCGAGCGUGACGGCGCGAGCAGGUGCGAAAGCAGGUCAUAGUGAUCCGGUGGUUCUGAAUGGAAGGGCCAUCGCUCAACGGAUAAAAGGUACUCCGGGGAUAACAGGCUGAUACCGCCCAAGAGUUCAUAUCGACGGCGGUGUUUGGCACCUCGAUGUCGGCUCAUCACAUCCUGGGGCUGAAGUAGGUCCCAAGGGUAUGGCUGUUCGCCAUUUAAAGUGGUACGCGAGCUGGGUUUAGAACGUCGUGAGACAGUUCGGUCCCUAUCUGCCGUGGGCGCUGGAGAAUUGAGGGGGGCUGCUCCUAGUACGAGAGGACCGGAGUGGACGCAUCACUGGUGUUCGGGUUGUCAUGCCAAUGGCAUUGCCCGGUAGCUAAAUGCGGAAGAGAUAAGUGCUGAAAGCAUCUAAGCACGAAACUUGCCCCGAGAUGAGUUCUCCCUGAGACUUUAAGUCUCCUGAAGGAACGUUAAAGACGAUGACGUUGAUAGGUCGGGUGUGUAAGCGUAGCGAUACGUUGAGCUAACCGAUACUAAUGAACCGUGAGGCUUAACCUUACAACGCCGAAGCUGUU